UACGUAGGGGGGCAAGCGUUUGUCCGGAAUCAUUGGGCGUAAAGAGCGUGUAGGCGGCUCGGUAAGUCCGCUGUGAAAGUCCAGGGCUCAACCCUGGAAUGCCGGUGGAAACUGUCGAGCUAGAGUCCGGAAGAGGCGAGUGGAAUUCCUGGUGUAGCGGUGAAAUGCGCAGAUAUCAGGAGGAACACCGAUGGCGAAGGCAGCUCGCUGGGACGGUACUGACGCUGAGACGCGAAAGCGUGGGGAGCAAACAGG
rnacentral:rRNA from 1 species